CUAGUUGUGGGGAACCUUCCACGGUUUCUGCGACGCAGCUAACGCAUUAAGUGCCCCGCCUGGGGAGUACGAUCGCAAGAUUAAAACUCAAAGGAAUUGACGGGGCCCCGCACAAGCAGCGGAGCAUGCGGCUUAAUUCGACGCAACGCGAAGAACCUUACCAAGGCUUGACAUAUAGGGAAAAGUGGCAGAGAUGUCAUGUCCGCAAGGGCCCUAUACAGGUGGUGCAUGGUUGUCGUCAGCUCGUGUCGUGAGAUGUUGGGUUAAGUCCCGCAACGAGCGCAACCCUCGUUCUGUGUUGCCAGCAUUUAGUUGGGGACUCACAGGAGACUGCCGGGGUUAACUCGGAGGAAGGUGGGGAUGACGUCAAAUCAUCAUGCCCCUUAUGUCUUGGGCUGCACGCAUGCUACAAUGGCCGGUACAGAGGGCUGCAAUACCGUAAGGUGGAGCGAAUCCCAAAAAGCCGGUCUCAGUUCGGAUUGAGGUCUGCAACUCGACCUCAUGAAGUUGGAGUUGCUAGUAAUCGUAGAUCAGCAACGCUACGGUGAAUACGUUCCCGGGGCUUGUACACACCGCCCGUCACGUCACGAAAUCGGUAACACCCAAAGUCAGUGGCCCAACCGCAAGGGGGGAGCUG
rnacentral:rRNA from 1 species